CCUACGGGAGACAGCAGUGAGGAAUAUUGGGCAAUGGAGGCAACUCUGACCCAGCCAUGCCGCGUGAGUGAAGAAGGUUUUCGGAUUGUAAAGCUCUUUCGGAGGGGACGAGGAUGACGGUAGCAUCGAAAGAAGCCCCGGCUAACUUCGUGCCAGCAGCCGCGGUAAUACGAAGGGGGCAAGCGUUGUUCGGAAUUACUGGGCGUAAAGGGAGUGUAGGCGGUUUCGUAAGAUAGUGGUGAAAUCCCAGGGCUUAACUUUGGAAUUGCCAUUAUAACUCUUAGACUAGAAUUACAGAGAGGUUAGUGGAAUCCCCAGUGUAGCGGUGAAAUUCGUAGAUCUUGGGUAGAACACCAGUGGCGAAGGCGACUCUCUGGCUGUACAUUGACACUGAGGCUCGAAAGCCUGGGGAUCAAACAGGAUUAGAUACCCGAGUAGUC
rnacentral:rRNA from 1 species